rnacentral:rRNA from 1 species
AGAGUUUGAUCCUGGCUCAGAACGAACGCUGGCGGCAGGCCUAACACAUGCAAGUCGAGCGCACUCUUCGGAGUGAGCGGCGGACGGGUUAGUAACGCGUGGGAAUAUACCCAGAUCUACGGAAUAGCCUUUGGAAACGAAGAGUAAUACCGUAUACGCCCUUCGGGGGAAAGAUUUAUCGGAUUUGGAUUAGCCCGCGUUAGAUUAGAUAGUUGGUGGGGUAACGGCCUACCAAGUCGACGAUCUAUAGCUGGUUUGAGAGGAUGAUCAGCAACACUGGGACUGAGACACGGCCCAGACUCCUACGGGAGGCAGCAGUGGGGAAUCUUGGACAAUGGGCGCAAGCCUGAUCCAGCCAUGCCGCGUGAGUGAUGAAGGCCUUAGGGUCGUAAAGCUCUUUCGCCAGGGAUGAUAAUGACAGUACCUG